UACGUAGGGUGCGAGCGUUGUCCGGAAUUAUUGGGCGUAAAGAGCUCGUAGGCGGUUUGUCGCGUCUGCUGUGAAAACCCGAGGCUCAACCUCGGGCCUGCAGUCGAUACGGGCAGACUAGAGUGCUGUAGGGGAGACUGGAAUUCCUGGUGUAGCGGUGAAAUGCGCAGAUAUCAGGAGGAACACCGGUGGCGAAGGCGGGUCUCUGGGCAGUAACUGACGCUGGAGGAGCGAAAGCGUGGGGAGCAAACAGG
rnacentral:rRNA from 1 species